GUACGAUUAGCUCAGUUGGGAGAGCACCUGCCUUACAAGCAGGGGGUCACUGGUUCGAGCCCGGUAUCGCCCACCA
rnacentral:tRNA from 1 species